AUUGAACGCUGGCGGCAGGCCUAACACAUGCAAGUCGAACGGUAACAGGAAGAAGCUUGCUUCUUUGCUGACGAGUGGCGGGCGGGUGAGUAAUGUCUGGGAAACUGCCUGAUGGAGGGGGAUAACUACUGGAAACGGUAGCUAAUACCGCAUAACGUCGCAAGACCAAAGAGGGGGACCUUCGGGCCUCUUGCCAUCGGAUGUGCCCAGAUGGGAUUAGCUAGUAGGUGGGGUAACGGCUCACCUAGGCGACGAUCCCUAGCUGGUCUGAGAGGAUGACCAGCCACACUGGAACUGAGACACGGUCCAGACUCCUACGGGAGGCAGCAGUGGGGAAUAUUGCACAAUGGGCGCAAGCCUGAUGCAGCCAUGCCGCGUGUAUGAAGAAGGCCUUCGGGUUGUAAAGUACUUUCAGCGGGGAGGAAGGGAGUAAAGUUAAUACCUUUGCUCAUUGACGUUACCCGCAGAAGAAGCACCGGCUAACUCCGUG
rnacentral:rRNA from 1 species